rnacentral:rRNA from 1 species
UUAAGCGACUAAGCGUACACGGUGGAUGCCCUGGCAGUCAGAGGCGAUGAAGGACGUGCUAAUCUGCGAUAAGCGUCGGUGAGGUGAUAUGAACCGUUAUAACCGGCGAUUUCCGAAUGGGGAAACCCAGUGUGUUUCGACACACUAUCAUUAACUGAAUCCAUAGGUUAAUGAGGCGAACCGGGGGAACUGAAACAUCUAAGUACCCCCGAGGAAAAGAAAUCAACCGAGAUUCCCCCAGUAGCGGCGAGCGAACGGGGAGGAGCCCAGAGCCUGAAUCAGUGUGUGUGUUAGUGGAAGCGUCUGGAAAGGCGCGCGAUACAGGGUGACAGCCCCGUACAACAAAAAUGCACAUAUUGUGAGCUCGAUGAGUAGGGCGGGACACGUGGUAUCCUGUCUGAAUAUGGGGGGACCAUCCUCCAAGGCUAAAUACUCCUGACUGACCGAUAGUGAACCAGUACCGUGAGGGAAAGGCGAAAAGAACCCCGGCGAGGGGAGUGAAAAAGAACCUGAAACCGUGUACGUACAAGCAGUGGGAGCCUCUUAAUGGGGUGACUGCGUACCUUUUGUAUAAUGGGUCAGCGACUUAUAUUCUGUAGCAAGGUUAACCGAAUAGGGGAGCCGAAGGGAAACCGAGUCUUAACUGGGCGUUAAGUUGCAGGGUAUAGACCCGAAACCCGGUGAUCUAGCCAUGGGCAGGUUGAAGGUUGGGUAACACUAACUGGAGGACCGAACCGACUAAUGUUGAAAAAUUAGCGGAUGACUUGUGGCUGGGGGUGAAAGGCCAAUCAAACCGGGAGAUAGCUGGUUCUCCCCGAAAGCUAUUUAGGUAGCGCCUCGUGAAUUCAUCUCCGGGGGUAGAGCACUGUUUCGGCAAGGGGGUCAUCCCGACUUACCAACCCGAUGCAAACUGCGAAUACCGGAGAAUGUUAUCACGGGAGACACACGGCGGGUGCUAACGUCCGUCGUGAAGAGGGAAACAACCCAGACCGCCAGCUAAGGUCCCAAAGUCAUGGUUAAGUGGGAAACGAUGUGGGAAGGCCCAGACAGCCAGGAUGUUGGCUUAGAAGCAGCCAUCAUUUAAAGAAAGCGUAAUAGCUCACUGGUCGAGUCGGCCUGCGCGGAAGAUGUAACGGGGCUAAACCAUGCACCGAAGCUGCGGCAGCGACACUAUGUGUUGUUGGGUAGGGGAGCGUUCUGUAAGCCUGUGAAGGUGGCCUGUGAGGGUUGCUGGAGGUAUCAGAAGUGCGAAUGCUGACAUAAGUAACGAUAAAGCGGGUGAAAAGCCCGCUCGCCGGAAGACCAAGGGUUCCUGUCCAACGUUAAUCGGGGCAGGGUGAGUCGACCCCUAAGGCGAGGCCGAAAGGCGUAGUCGAUGGGAAACAGGUUAAUAUUCCUGUACUUGGUGUUACUGCGAAGGGGGGACGGAGAAGGCUAUGUUGGCCGGGCGACGGUUGUCCCGGUUUAAGCGUGUAGGCUGGUUUUCCAGGCAAAUCCGGAAAAUCAAGGCUGAGGCGUGAUGACGAGGCACUACGGUGCUGAAGCGACAAAUGCCCUGCUUCCAGGAAAAGCCUCUAAGCAUCAGGUAACAUCAAAUCGUACCCCAAACCGACACAGGUGGUCAGGUAGAGAAUACCAAGGCGCUUGGGAGAACUCGGGUGAAGGAACUAGGCAAAAUGGUGCCGUAACUUCGGGAGAAGGCACGCUGAUAUGUAGGUGAAGCGACUUGCUCGUGGAGCUGAAAUCAGUCGAAGAUACCAGCUGGCUGCAACUGUUUAUUAAAAACACAGCACUGUGCAAACACGAAAGUGGACGUAUACGGUGUGACGCCUGCCCGGUGCCGGAAGGUUAAUUGAUGGGGUUAGCGGUAACGCGAAGCUCUUGAUCGAAGCCCCGGUAAACGGCGGCCGUAACUAUAACGGUCCUAAGGUAGCGAAAUUCCUUGUCGGGUAAGUUCCGACCUGCACGAAUGGCGUAAUGAUGGCCAGGCUGUCUCCACCCGAGACUCAGUGAAAUUGAACUCGCUGUGAAGAUGCAGUGUACCCGCGGCAAGACGGAAAGACCCCGUGAACCUUUACUAUAGCUUGACACUGAACAUUGAGCCUUGAUGUGUAGGAUAGGUGGGAGGCUUUGAAGUGUGGACGCCAGUCUGCAUGGAGCCGACCUUGAAAUACCACCCUUUAAUGUUUGAUGUUCUAACGUGGGCCCGUAAUCCGGGUUGCGGACAGUGUCUGGUGGGUAGUUUGACUGGGGCGGUCUCCUCCUAAAGAGUAACGGAGGAGCACGAAGGUUGGCUAAUCCUGGUCGGACAUCAGGAGGUUAGUGCAAUGGCAUAAGCCAGCUUGACUGCGAGCGUGACGGCGCGAGCAGGUGCGAAAGCAGGUCAUAGUGAUCCGGUGGUUCUGAAUGGAAGGGCCAUCGCUCAACGGAUAAAAGGUACUCCGGGGAUAACAGGCUGAUACCGCCCAAGAGUUCAUAUCGACGGCGGUGUUUGGCACCUCGAUGUCGGCUCAUCACAUCCUGGGGCUGAAGUAGGUCCCAAGGGUAUGGCUGUUCGCCAUUUAAAGUGGUACGCGAGCUGGGUUUAGAACGUCGUGAGACAGUUCGGUCCCUAUCUGCCGUGGGCGCUGGAGAACUGAGGGGGGCUGCUCCUAGUACGAGAGGACCGGAGUGGACGCAUCACUGGUGUUCGGGUUGUCAUGCCAAUGGCACUGCCCGGUAGCUAAAUGCGGAAGAGAUAAGUGCUGAAAGCAUCUAAGCACGAAACUUGCCCCGAGAUGAGUUCUCCCUGACCCUUUAAGGGUCCUGAAGGAACGUUGAAGACGACGACGUUGAUAGGCCGGGUGUGUAAGCGCAGCGAUGCGUUGAGCUAACCGGUACUAAUGAACCGUGAGGCUUAACCUU